AGUGGAUUCUAGUAUCUACUAAGGAAUUAGGGUAAUUUCUCGAAUUGAAGGUAGAGGCUACCAAUUCGAAUAAAAUAGUGGGAGAAAUUUUUUAAUUAAAGUCUAAAUUUUUAGGUUUAAUGAAUCAAUUACUAAUUAGGUUAUGAUUUUUUUUUGUACAAAUAUGGUCACUUUCCUAUCGUUUCGAUUAUUGUUGGACAAUGAUAAGUUGGUGGGACCCAACUUCGGUAGCUGGUACCGAAAGUUGAAGAUAGUUCUGGAGUAUGAACG
rnacentral:lncRNA from 1 species